rnacentral:tRNA from 1 species
GAAAAAAGUUGUUCAAGUGAAAUAUAUUAACUUAUAACGAAACCGGUUAAACUCCAUUUAUAUUUCU